rnacentral:rRNA from 1 species
AGUGAACGCUGGCGGUAGGCCUAACACAUGCAAGUCGAACGGCAGCACAGUAAGAGCUUGCUCUUACAGGUGGCGAGUGGCGGACGGGUGAGGAAUACAUCGGAAUCUACUUUUUCGUGGGGGAUAACGUGGGGAAACUUACGCUAAUACCGCAUACGACCUACGGGUGAAAGCAGGGGAUCUUCGGACCUUUCUCGAUUUACUUAGCCGAUGUCGGAUUAGCUAGUUUGCGGGGUAAAGGCCCACCAAGGCGACGAUCCGUAGCUGGUCUGAGAGGAUGAUCAGCCACACUGGAACUGAGACACGGUCCAGACUCCUACGGGAGGCAGCAGUGGGGAAUAUUGGACAAUGGGCGCAAGCCUGAUCCAGCCAUACCGCGUGGGUGAAGAAGGCCUUCGGGUUGUAAAGCCCCUUUGUUGGGAAAGAAAAGCAGCAGGUUAAUACCCUGCUGUUCUGACGGUACCCAAAGAAUAAGCACCGGCUAACUUCGUG